UACGUAGGGUGCGAGCGUUGUCCGGAAUUAUUGGGCGUAAAGAGCUCGUAGGCGGUCUGUUGCGUCGGUUGUGAAAACCUGGGGCUCAACUCCAGGCCUGCAAUCGAUACGGGCAGACUAGAGUUCGGUAGGGGAGACUGGAAUUCCUGGUGUAGCGGUGAAAUGCGCAGAUAUCAGGAGGAACACCGGUGGCGAAGGCGGGUCUCUGGGCCGAUACUGACGCUGAGGAGCGAAAGCGUGGGGAGCGAACAGG
rnacentral:rRNA from 1 species